AAACAAAAGAAAAGAAAACCCUUGAGAGCACAAAGAGCAAACUAAGGGUCGAGCCUCAUUAAAACCCCUCUAAGGCAAACCCGCGAGGGAAAAUCCUUAAAGGGGAAAAAGAGUACUCGUUGACGCACAAACGUGAAAGGAAGCGGAGGUGAGACAACUUCAAAGGUUCCGGCCUAACCAUCACCCCUAAGUUGCUCGGUUUCCUAUCACAAAAAGAAAACGAACAAAGGACAAACCAACACAAAAACCAAGCAGCGCAAAAAAAGAAGACAACACAGACCCUGCCAACCCUGCAAGCGAAACGAAGGAGGAGAUAAAACUCCGAGACUCAGCUCAUCAAUGACGGCACCGGCUGAAUCCCACCAAAAACCGACCCCGAGAAAGGGAGUCGAAAUCCAAAGGAAUCCGACCAGCUUCGCCCCCGAGCCGAGCGCACCCGGACACGGAAAGG
rnacentral:lncRNA from 1 species